GGGGGGCAUGCCUGUCCGAGCGUCAUU
rnacentral:ncRNA from 4 species